UGCGAGUGAAGAGGGAAAAGCUCAAAUUUAAAAUCUGGCAGUCUUUGGCUGUCCGAGUUGUAAAUUAGAGAAGUGUUAUCCGCUCAAGCCUGUGCAAAAGUCCCUUGGAAAAGGGCAUCAUAGAGGGUGACAAUCCCGUCUUUGGCACAGAUCACUUGAGCUUUUGUGAUGCGCUCUCGAUGAGUCGAGUUGUUUGGGAAUGCAGCUCCAAAUGGGUGGUAAAUUCCAUCUAAAGCUAAAUAUGGGCGAGAAACCGAUAGCGCACAAGUACCGUGAGGGAAAGAUGAAAAGAACUUUGAAAAGAGAGUUAAACAGUAUGUGAAAUUGUUGAAAGGGAAACGCUUGAAGUCAGUCGUAUCCUUCAGAAUCAACCUGACCUUUGGUUGGGCAUACUUUUUGUUGGAUGGGUCAGCAUCAAUUUUGAUCAUUGGAUAAAGGACUUGGGAAUGUGGCAUCUUUAGAUGUGUUAUAGCCCUUGUUUGUAUACAAUGAUUGGGAUUGAGGAACUCAGUGUGACUUUGGUUUGGGGGUAUUACCUCACACACGCACUUAGGAUGCUGGCAUAAUGGCUUUAAUCGACCCGUCUUGAAACACGGACCAAGGAGUCUAACAUGCAUGCGAGUGUUUGGGUGGAAAACUCAAGCGCGUAAUGAAAGUGAAAGUUGAGAACCCUGUCRUGGGGUGCACCGACGCCCGGUCUUGACCUUUUGUGACGGACCUGUGGUAGAGCAUGUAUGUUGGGACCCGAAAGAUGGUGAACUAUGCCUGAAUAGGGUGAAGCCAGAGGAAAYUCUGGUGGAAGCUCGUAGCGAUUCUGACGUGCAAAUCGAUCGUCAAAUUUGG
rnacentral:rRNA from 1 species